CACCUGGCCGAACCUCUUAGGGAAGAGGCAAGGAACAACUGCGCUUCUUCUGCCCUUUCUUUAGCCCGGGACUGGAACACAGACAAAAUCAAGGGGCUCUUGGACCUGUGCAGGCUCCGAGCAGUUUUCAGCCUUCCUUAGCAGGGCAUUCUCACCCUCCGAAAAGCUGAAAGGCUUUAACAGCUGGAGACGCGCCUGCAGCUGUGCAGAUUAAUGUAGUUUCUUUUAGGAAAUGAAGGGGAAGUUUUCCUGUUGGGAGCCUAAAUACCGAGUCUACUCUGCUUUUUCAAUCAGGUGACGAAGCUUAGGGAAGAAAAGACCAAAGGCCUCGAGGCAUGUUAUUCUUGACCCCCCGGGGCAAACGGAGGUGUCAGCGUCAGGAGCCAUCCUAACUGAGGCCCUGGGAGGCUGCCUCUUUCCCUUCGGUCGCCGUGGGACGCCUCUGGCAGGACUAACCCUGUGGCUUUUAUGUCCAACGUGCUUUGCUGUGUGUGCCUGCAGUAUCUUGUACAAGACAAAGCUACCUUUCCUCGUGGGAACGGACUGGCCGGGCUUUGGCAAUCUGGCCCCUCGAAAGACUAAGUGACCUCUUCCAACAGGGGAAGACUUUCUGGCAAGCGGUGCCAGGAAGAACUGGAGUUUCUGGAGAAUAAAAGCUGGAAGCGUGCCCCUGAAAAUCCCCAGCCCUGGGUGGUCAGUGGUCUGACUUGCACGGACCGGUGGCCUUGGCCAGGAGCGGCCCUGCGGGAAGCGCCUUUGCCCAGGCUGUAAUUUUAAUUUCCCUUGGAUGCUUGGCAAAGCCCCUCUGGGUGAGCCCCAGUGCCUGGCAGGAGCAGAGCGGGCUUCCAGGGAGGUAUUCACCUGGUCAGCGUCAGGAACCAUCCUACCUGAGGCCUCGGCUGCCUCUUUCCCUUCGGUCGCCGUGGGACGCCUCUGGCAGGACUAACCCUGUGGCUUUUAUGUCCAACGUGCUGUGCUGUGUGUGCCUGCAGAAUUGCCACGAGAGGAAAUACUUCAGAGGGGCUUCCCUCCAGAUAAGGCCUGAAGAUGCCAGGAGGUUUCAGCCGGGAGGAAAGGAGCUGUGGAAGAAAAGCAGCCUAAAAACAGCCAGUGGGGAUCAUCAGGUUUUCCAGCCAAGAAGAACAAGGAGAGAGAUGAGGGAAUGGGGUUCCAAUUCCUAAUGCUUUGGAAGUGGGCUGGGACAAGGGAAUUGGCUCCCACGAGGCCGAGGAUCAGAGCGGGCUGUGCACAGGGGACAACUUCCACUUCCGAACGGGGAAGGGCCCCUUCGUGCCCACCCCUGGCAAACUGGGACAGAGUAACAUCUGCCUGCAGCUGGCUGGAGUUCCCGUUGGCUCUGGGCUUUCAGCCCGCCGG